rnacentral:lncRNA from 1 species
UCACCCCUCUAACACAGAUUUAAGUCAAACCCACAGUUGGGAAGCAAGUUUUUCCCAGCAGAGAAUGGUCCAAGUGCUUGGGCCCCUGCACCCAAAUGGGAGACCCAAGAAACUCCUGGCACCUGGCUUUGUCCUGGCACAUCCGUGGCCAUUACAGCCAUUUGGGGAGUGAACCAGCAGAUGGAAGAGGUCGUUUUCUCUCUCUCUCUCUCUCUCUCUCUCUCUCUCUCUCUCCCUCUCUCUCCCUCUCCCUCUCCCUCUGCCUCUCCCGCUCCCUGUCUCCUCCCUCUCCCUUUGACUGUCUAUUCUGUAAUUCUGACUACAAAUAAAUAAAUAAAUGUUUUUUAAAAAAGCUAAGAAAGGAAUAAUUAUCUCACAGCCAACAAAUAUUCUGUGGGCUGAUUUGUUCCCUAGUGAGUCUGAUGUAUUUUGGAAUGCUUUGGAUACUGAGCAGCAACAUGAAUUGGUUUUUAGUCUUAGUCCCACCUCUGAGUCAUGGACCACCUGAUGAGAGUUUGGUCCUAGCAUUCAUCAAGUCUUGCAUUUCUUCCUGGACAACUGUCCCAGUUCCCGUGAUAAAUUACUCCACCUAAGGGUGUAUUUGAAGAUUUCACAGUGUGGAGCUGAUAGCACAUGUGCUGGGUACUGAGUGAUGUCAUACAAGGAGGGCAGAGAUUCUGUCCCUGACUUAAGGAAUUUAUCGGAGAGAGCAAGGGAGAGACAAGUUCUAACCUAAGUCAGAAUGUUUUUGUGAAAAUGCCAUGGAAACACAGAAGAAAAAAGAGAAUCCUGAUGAGGGGAAUUCAUCAAGGAGCUGAAGCAGUAAAACAGGUGGAGCUGGAAGGAACAGCAUACAAUUGGCCUGUAACACCAGGGGCUUACAAGAAUAAACAUGAAAGGCUGGGAGCAACCUUCCUGUCAAUUAAGAAACAGUCAGCAGUACUUCAAGUGAGCACUUCCAGCAGAACUCAGCAACUGGAAUCGGAGUGGAAACGCAUGCUCUGAGCCACAAAAGAGGCUCCAACCCAGAACUAUAAGUUUUGCAAACUAUGCCUUAUACACACUUAUCCUCCCUCCCCCCUCCCCACUCUUGUAAAGCUAGCUACUAAUACUCAAUAGGAAAAGCAUUGUUUUUGGACCAUUUAUUUGAAAGUAUAAUAGUUUGGCAUUUUUCUGCAAGAAACACUAAUAAACCUCAGGAGGAGUCACA